AAUACACAAGGAAAGCUCCAUGGAAGAUAAAGGCAGAGAUUUACAAGCCAAGGAAUGUCAAAGACGGCCAGCACACCACCAGAAGCUAGCAGAGAGGUAUGGAACAGAUUCUUCUUCACAACCUCAGAGGGAAAACCCUGCUGAUACCUGGAUUUCAAACUCCUGGCCUCCAGAACGAAGUCCCUGGAGAGAGGACGUGAUGUCUGAAGCUAUGGCAGCCAUCUUGUAACUAUGAGGCCACAAACAAGAAAAGCAAAAACCAGAGUGAAGCAUGGCAGAGCAGAAAGAUGGAAAGAACCUGGAUACAUAAGAGUGUCACUGUGCAGCUGUACCCACCCUAGACUGCAUAUACCUGGACUUUAAGUAAAUGACAAAUAUCCUUUAUUCUAUCUCAAGCCAUUGCUUCUUCAUCUUUUUUGUGUCAUGACAAUCACAGUGGGCGGUAAUAUUUGUACUGCCCUCUGGGGAACACAGAGGAGACUGCUGGCACCUGAGGUGAACUAUGCUGGGGGCUUCAGCUGCCCCAGGACUCCUCCCUACCUUGAAGCCUGAGGGGAUACAUAUCUCUCUGCACAUCUCUUUGUGGCUCAUCAAUGGGCCUCACCAUACACGUUGAAAAGUUCUAGUUUAAGCCAUACUUACCUGUUACUUGGCUGAAUGCACUUCUAAGUAAAACUUGGACUCAAUGCUGCUUGUCAAUGGAAAGUGAUGAGAUUUAUAAGAUAUCAUACAUUCUCUAGCAACAUAUGAAUAUGCAAAAAAUACUGAUCUUAGCCCAAAUCACAUCAUAUGAUUCUACUGACAGAACUAUUUGCUAUUUAACUCGUGUUCUUUCUUGUCAGUAAUGGGGCCACUUCCUGAUUAACUACAGGCACAUUUCAUGAGAUCCAAACAUAGAAAUUUUUCUUUCUUUUUUUUUCUGAGACAGAGUCUCCUCAGUCGCCCAGGCUGGAGUGCAGUGGCACGAUUUUGGCUGAUGCAACCUCUGCCUCCGGGGUUCAAGUGAUUCUCCUGCCUCAGCUUCCUGAGUAGCUGGGAAUACAGGCACUUGCCAUCAUGCCCAGCCAAUUUUUGUAUUUUUCUAGAGAUGGGGUUUUCCCAUGUUGACUAGACUGGUCUUGAACUCCUGGGCUCAAGUGAUCCUCCUGCCUCAGCCUUCCAAAAUGCUGGGAUUACAGGCAUGAGCCACCUUGCCCGGCCUAUAGGAAUGUUUCAAACGAUGCAUUUGAGAGUACAUUCAUAAUGGUUGAAGAAUUAUAGAUUUUAGGGAAAAAAGUUUCAUUUUAUCUAGAAGUUCAUCUUAUGGGUCAAGUUAUUAUGUUUUUUAUAUGGUCUUAGGUUUGGGUACACAAUGACCUUGGCAAUAAUUGAUUUUUCUAUGAGCCUGACAUUAAUGUUUCUAAGCAAGUCCCUUUUGUCAGCUCCACUGGUGCUUACCGUAGAGGGUUGAUGGGUGCAUUAAAUAAAAUAAUAUCUGUAAAGCUCUUGGCUGACUACAUUGCAUACAGUACACAUCAAAGACAUAGUUCUUAGGAUUAUUAUAAACAAAAAUGUAAAAAGAAUGUGCAUGAAUUAAUGGUAGUCAUAACUCAUUGGAUACAAAAUAUCUUCCAUAUGGAUACAGUAAAAUACUACAUAAAUAUUACUAUAAAAGUGCUAUAAAAAUAUGAAGCUCUCACCACUCCCCAGAACUCAUGUAAUUAUUUUAACCCGAGGCCAGCUCUCAGGUGACCCACCUUCCUGUUUUGGCAAAGAAGUGCCAUGCUCUGGUUACAUCUGAGAGCUGUGUAUUCUUAAACAAAAAUAUCCAGUUCCCCACUUUUCCAGAGAUCGCACUGAGAGGGCUUUAUGUGGGAGUCCCUUGUUUAUUAAGAACUGUUUCUAUGUCACGGGAGGCCAGGAAAUGAAUUUUAAAUCUGUCUUAACCACAGAAUGACACACGGGACAAAUGACAAGAGCAAACUGGGGAGCUCUGCUCUCUCUCACAGUGCCUGGGCUGAUGAGUUCAACACAUCUGUUUGCACUUGAAAAGUCAGAUGUACUAAUUAUUGUUACAAACACAAAUAAAAGUGAUCAAUGUACAUCUUCCUGAAAUUAAACCCUUUAUGAAGCAACAUUGUCACUUUUGGAAUGCCUUCUUGGUUCAGUCAAGCAUGGGCAUCUCAAAUGUUGCAUGUGGAUAAUUAUGAAACAUUUUCUGAGCACUUAUGCCAAGGACAAUGAGCAAUAUGAUCAGGGAUGUGCAGUUUUCACCCUGUAGCACUCUUCCUUUACUGCAGGCAUCAUACACAGCUCCAGCAUCUUGUUUGGACUUGUUUGUGAGCACCAAGGAGACACCUCUGGGGACUUACAGAUCUACUUGGACAGCACUUGACCAUGGACCUGCCCCCCAGCAGAUGGGGCAAGAGCCAGUGAAAUUUGGGUAUUUGACUGCAACCCUGUUUGUUCCCACAUGUAGAGGAGAUCUGGUGCAACUCCAGUUACUUGGAGCAGUAUAACAGCACAGCCACUGCUGUCGUAUCAACAUUUUUCGCUAGUCCUCUCUCAUGUGGGGCUUGUCUAUGGGGCAUGUUGGCAUUGGGAAGUCCUCAUUUCCUGAUUUACUGUCUCAUGAUGAGAUACCAAUCAAAGCUAAGAUACAAAGAACUCUUUGAAAAAUAGCCUUUUCAACUUGUCCACACACAAUCAGAAACAUACUGAUUUUGGAUUAACUCAUUAUUAAUGAUUUUGUCUAUUUUGAAAGAGGCUGCCCUGAACAAGGAGUCAGGAAUUGUAGGUCUUAGCUCCACUUUUGCUAUUAAGUUAUGCUGCAAACCUUAGAAUCUUCGCUGAGCAGUUCUCUGGGCCUCUCUUAAUCUGUAGACGAAGAAACAGAGGCAGAUGAAACACAUCUCAUCUAAUUUUGCAGACACGCUCAACCCUCUACACUACAAUAAAGGGUUAAAAAAGGACAUAAACCUAUAAAGAGGGGAGAAGAUUGGAAGAAGCUAAGAGAGACAAAAUUUAGGAGUCUGAAAGGCAUAUGAACAGGUAGUAAUCAAUUUAGCAAACUUGAGAGGAAAAUCCUGAGCUACCACUGGGAAAAGCAAAGAAAUAUAUAGCCAGGCAAAAACCUCUCCCCAUUCCAACAGAAGACUGGAGGAUUUUAUUUUUUUUCUCCCUGCGGAAAACACAGAACAGGAUGUGUGGACCCAGGGACACCAGAAGCAAUUGAGGUAAAAGAAAGAGAGGAAGUAAAUAUGUAUAUACUAGAUGCUAAGACACCUGUUCCUGCCAGAUGUCCCAGAAGGCUGACAGCCAGGCCUUUCUCCUCCAAGCAAGAAACUGGAAGCAUCUCCUAUAGGGAGUCUGACCAGCUCAAUAGCUUGCUGGUCAACAAGCUCUGCUCAAGUGCUUAAGUUUCCAGUCAGGGAUUUUUUUUUUUUUUUUUUUUUUUUUAAGACAGAGUCUUGCUCUGUUGCCCAGGCUGGAGUACAAUGGUGCAAUAACAGCUCACUGCAGCCUCAACCACCCAGGCUCAAGCCAUCUGAGCCUCUGAGUAGCUGGGACUACAGGUGUGUCACUGCACUUGGCUAAUUUUAAUUUUUUUUGUAGGGAUGGGGUCUCACUAGUAUUGCCCAGGCUGGUCUCGAACUCCUGGGCUCCAACAGUCCUCCUACCUCGGCCUCCAAAUAUGCUGGGAUUAUAGGUGUGAACCACCACACCUGGCCUCUAAUCAGUUUUCUAGUCUCCCACUCAAGCCUUAGUUGAGCAGACAAAUGAAGAUUUCCAAAAAUCUGAGGAAAACCUCCAGUAUAGAACAUGUAGACUACAAAGAGAAAAAGGCAGCCUGGAUGAAAACCGAGACUAAAAAGGGAGAAGAAACAAAAUUCAGGGCAAAACAAAAAACAUAAUCCUAAUAUCUUCAGGAAAAAAGAGAAAUUACAAUCAUGAAAAAAGGAAAGAUUGCUAAAAAAUAAAAUCUCAGCGAACAAAAAAAGAAUUCUUAUAAAACAUGGUAAUGGAAAUUAAAAACUCAGUGGAAGGAUUAGGAGAUGAAGUUGAGGAAAUCUCUCAGAAACUAGGACAGAAACAUAAAUAGAUGGGACUGAAGACAGAAAAGUAGAGAAAAUUGGAAGACAAAUCCAGGAUAUUCUGUAUGCAUAAAAGGAAUUA
rnacentral:lncRNA from 1 species